rnacentral:snRNA from 1 species
GUGCUCGCUUUGGCAGCACAUAUAUUAAAAUUGGAACGAUACAGAGAAGAUUAGCAUGGCCCCUGUGUGAGGAUGACACGCAAAUUCGUGAAGCCGCUCCAUUAUAA